rnacentral:lncRNA from 1 species
CUGCUAUGGUCAUGAUCUAUGGAACUUGCUGUAGAGAGCAAUUAAAUACGGUUAACGGCCGGCUUCCACGAACACAUUAAAAGGCCUACAGGCUGCGAUUUAUGAAGGCAGUUGUGCUGCCUCAUUUGUAUCCAGUGCAUGUCUGGUUUCUGCUCAGGAGGUCCGGCCCAGGAGGGACCACCCUCCAGGCUUCCUCCAGCAUCACUCCCGUCACCAGUCCUCCCGAAACCGUGUUAGCAGGGCUUGGUCGUCCUCACUGCCUCCCUGAACGUCCACAGGAGGCCUGCUGGCUGCUAUCAUCGUGGAAAGGCACGUGCUACCCCCAGAGGAACUUAGAUGUCAUACUGGGGCUGGUUCUCACACGUGGUGUAAAGUGACUUGAUGACAAGCUCAAGGUGAAGUGCUGUGGGCUCACUGUCCUCCACUCUGCUGAUGUCUCUGUGUAAUCAGCACACGACCCCAGCUCAAGGAUGGGGAGGGGUCUCUAUCCCCAGUGGCCAGCAAGCUGGGCAGAGUCAUGCCCCAUUCAUCCAGCAACCUUCCCCACUGUGAGACAGGAGGAAGAUCAAGCCCCUGAGAAGCCCAAACAAGAACUAAGAGCAUGCAACCUACUCAGGAGUGAGCAACUAGACAGGNCCCCCCCCCCCCCCCCCCCCCCCCCCCCGCCCGCCACUGGCCGACUCCACCUACUGACGUCACGCUGGCCCAGGGGCAUGCUUCCAUCAGCAGUGGGGACUGCAGACAAUAGGUACAGGAGUCUCUUGGAAUAG